rnacentral:rRNA from 1 species
CAUGUGUAGCGGUGAAAUGCGUAGAUAUAUGGAGGAACACCAGUGGCGAAAGCGGCUCUCUGGUCUGUCACUGACGCUGAGGCUCGAAAGCGUGGGUAGCGAACAGGAUUAGAUACCCUGGUAGUNCACGCCGUAAACGAUGAGUGCUAGGUGUUAGGCCCUUUCCGGGGCUUAGUGCCGGAGCUAACGCAAUAAGCACUCCGCCUGGGGAGUACGACCGCAAGGUUGAAACUCAAAGGUAUUGACGGGGGCCCGCACAAGCGGUGGAGCAUGUGGUUUAAUUCGAAGCAACGCGAAGAACCUUACCAGGUCUUGACAUCCCGAUGCUAUUCUUAGAGAUAGGAAGUUACUUCGGUACAUCGGAGACAGGCGGUGCAUGGUUGUCGUCAGCUCGUGUCGUGAGAUGUUGGGUUAAGUCCCGCAAUGAGCGCAACCCUUAUUGUUAGUUGCCAUCAUUAAGUUGGGCACUCUAGCGAGACUGCCGGUAAUAAACCGGAGGAAGGUGGGGAUGACGUCAAAUCAUCAUGCCCCUUAUGACCUGGGCUACACACGUGCUACAAUGGUCGGUACAACGAGUUGCGAGCCGGUGACGGCAAGCUAAUCUCUGAAAGCCGAUCUCAGUUCGGAUUGGAGGCUGCAACUCGCCUCCAUGAAGUCGGAAUCGCUAGUAAUCGCGGAUCAGCACGCCGCGGUGAAUACGUUCCCGGGCCUUGUACACACCGCCCGUCACACCACGAGAGUUUGUAACACCCGAAGUCGGUGAGGUANCCUUUUAGGG